rnacentral:rRNA from 1 species
AGAGCGAACGCUGGCGGCAGGCUUAACACAUGCAAGUCGAGCGGACGUAGCAAUACGUCAGCGGCAGACGGGUGAGUAACGCGUGGGAACGUACCUUUUGGUUCGGAACAACACAGGGAAACUUGUGCUAAUACCGAAUACGCCCUUACGGGGAAAGAUUUAUCGCCGAAAGAUCGGCCCGCGUCUGAUUAGCUAGUUGGUGGGGUAACGGCCCACCAAGGCGACGAUCAGUAGCUGGUCUGAGAGGAUGAUCAGCCACAUUGGGACUGAGACACGGCCCAAACUCCUACGGGAGGCAGCAGUGGGGAAUAUUGGACAAUGGGCGCAAGCCUGAUCCAGCCAUGCCGCGUGAGUGAUGAAGGCCCUAGGGUUGUAAAGCUCUUUGUGCGGGAAGAUAAUGACGGUACCGCAAGAAUAAGCCCGGCUAACUUCGCGCCAGCAGCCGC